GCAGUUGGUGGACCUGGUCGCGCUGUGCCGGGUGUGACACUACGGAGAGCAGAUUACAUUAUCAAAAGCACCAAGUUGAAACAUUUGCAAGGUAGGUGAGAAAAAAAGCAUUCGUCAGCAUAUUUUGGAUUUUAUCAUUUUGACUUUAUUGCCUAUGGUCAGUUCUGCCAGUUUUUGUCUCCUUCUAAAAAUUGUUUCAAUCUGCUGAAUCUAUGGAAAUUUAAUAUUUUCCAUAGUGAAGGCUGAUAAGACAUCUGAGGAAGAAUUAAAAACAGAUGAUCUCUAAUUUAAGAAACAUUUGAUGCUAAUUACUUCUUACCUUUUCACACAACUUAAAUAUUGGUUAAUAUAUAGGAUUACAUUACUUUUUAAGUGAGAUUUUAAAGCUAAAUUGAUAAAGUAGAGAUCUAGUGAGAUAAUUAGAUGUUCAUACAAGAUUUGAAAAAUACAGACAUUCUUAGUCACACAAAAAUACCAAAAAGCAUUGUGAUAAUUCACUUUUUCUUAUUCUAAUUUGUAACAGCAUUUUAAUAUGGUCAGUAGAAUGGCUUCAGCAUAUUUACAAUCUUAAAGUUUUUAACUAGAAAACAGUUUGAUGUAUAGAUCUGUUACUCAGCAACAUUUUAGAUUUAAAACUUAAUUUAAUUUUAUAGCUAAUUUAAUUUUAUAGCAAAUUUAAUUGUAUAGCAUGUAAGGCAGUUUACAUUUGAUUUAAUAAAAUUAACACUUAGGCUUUUAUGAUAGCUUUCUAACUCAGGUAUCAGUGAUUUUCAGAAUGCAGAGAUUUUCAAACUGAAAUUUUUUUUGUCAUGAUGCUCUUGUGGCUAAGUUUAUACUUGGGUUAUUUCUUCUUUACACACACACACACACACACACACACACACACACACACACACACCCCAUAAUAUGAAAAAAUAAAGUCUGAAAGAAAAUAUACAAAUACAUUACUAUUUUUUGGACAGUGUAUAGAUUUGAGUGAUCUGUAGAACCUUCUUUAUUGUAUUAUACAGGCUUAAAUUUUUAAUGAUUACUUUAUAAUUCGGUAGAGUAUAGCUAUUUUCAUUUUCAAAAACAUAUAUAUGACAAUCCCAGUAUAGGUGAUACAUUGUUUUCACAAAAAUUUUAUAAUAAAUAUUGACAAUAAUUUUUUCCUAUCCUCUUGAAUCUGUAAAAACCUGCCAGAGCAAAUAUCCUGUUCUUUCCUUGGCAUUACUAAUUUGUUCAUGGUAUUGAUAUAAACCACUCAGUGGAAGUUACAGUGUAAUAACUGUAAACUGCAAGGGGUAUGUUAUGCUUAAAGGAUCCCAGGAAUGAUCCAAGACAAACCACAGACAUGGUAAACAGAAAUUAUACCUCUGCAGGAUCUUAGGACUCCUCUACACUGUUAACAAUUAUUGAAGACCCUUGCAAAGAACUUUGUUUAUGCAGGUUAUGUUGGUAUUUAUCAUAUUAGAAAUUGAAACAGAAAAAUUUAAAAAAUAUUUACUAAAUCAUUUAAAAACAAUGAAAACAUAUUACAUGUUAACAUAUGUAAUAUAGUUUUUCUGAAACAAAAUAAACAAAUAUGUAUGUAUACAUAUAUAGCGAGAAGAGUGGCACUGUUUUACAUUUUUGUAAAUGUCUUUAAUAUAAGGCUUAAUAGAAGACAGCUGAAUUCUCUUACCUGCUUCUGCAUUCAAUUGGAUGCAAUAUGGUAUUUUGUUUAAAGUAAAAUCUGUCUUUACACAAAUAUGUAAUUAUAGAAGGAAGGAGUAUUUUAAUAACUUUUUCAGUUGAUUGUGGAUAUUCUUUAAUAUUACAGUGAAUCUCAACAAAUGAUAGUCUGUUACAGAUUAGUUGCAUUGUGAAAUCUGAAACCAUAUAAAUCAACUUUUCAGACUUUUGAACCUAGCCUGUUUCUUAAGGAAGAUUUCUGAAAGGUGUCUAACUUUUGCUUUAAAAAAAUAAAUUGUAAAAUUUAAAUCAUAGUAAGACAAUCUCAAGCACAUUCUGAAGGAUAUUUUAAGUUUACUUUUCAUCAAAGUUACUUUAUAAAAUAUUCAAGCACUGCUUAAGUCUCUGAUCCUGAUUUCUUAAUGUUUAGAUUAAUUGAAUUUAAAGUUUAUUAUUUAUUAGAUGUUCUAGCUCUUAAAGUCUUUGCUUUGUGACUUUCUGGAGGUAAGUUUUUGUAUAUUAAUUAAGCAGAUGUAAACAGCAUAGGAAAAAAUAAAGGUUUGAUUAGUGAUUUUUUGGCAUGGUGCUCCACUAUUCUAGAUUUCUGUUAAGUACUAAAGAAAGUAAUUUCCAAACAAAACCUUUGCUUGAGCUUGAGAACCGAAAUACUGAUUUCAAAAAAAAAA
rnacentral:lncRNA from 1 species